UGCCUUAGUAACUGCGAGUGAAGCGGCAAAAGCUCAAAUUUGAAAUCGGUGUCCAUAAAGUACAUCGAGUUGUAAUUUGGAGGGACAACUUCGGGCCGAACCACACCGUAAGUUUUUUGGAACAGGACAUCAUAGAGGGUGAGAAUCCCGUGUCUUGGUGUAGGGUCAAACCAUGUGAAGUGUCUCCGACGAGUCGAGUUGUUUGGGAAUGCAGCUCAAAAUGGGUGGUAAAUUUCAUCUAAAGCUAAAUAUUGGCGAGAGACCGAUAGCGCACAAGUAGAGUGAUCGAAAGAUGAAAAGCACUUUGAAAAGAGAGUUAAAAAGUACGUGAAAUUGUUGAAAGGGAAGCGCUUGCGACCAGACUCGAUCUUUGGAGAUCAGCCGGGCUUCGGUUCGGUGCCCUCUUCAUUGAUUGGGCCAGCAUCGGUUCCGGCGGUGGGAUAAAAGGAGGAGGAAUGUGGCUCCCCUCGGGGAGUGUUAUAGCCACCUUCACAAUGCUACCAGUUGGGACCGAGGACCGCGCUUCGGCUAGGAUGCUGGUGUAAUGGUCUUAAGCGACCCGUCUUGAAACACGGACCAAGGAGUCUAACAUCUAUGCGAGUGUUCGGGUGGAAAACCCUUGCGCGUAAUGAAAGUGAACGGAGGUGUGAACCCUUUGCCGGGUGCAACAUCGACCGGUCCUGAUGUCUUCGGAAGGAUCUGAGUAAGAGCAUAGCUGUUGGGACCCGAAAGAUGGUGAACUAUGC
rnacentral:rRNA from 1 species